rnacentral:rRNA from 1 species
CCUACGGGUGGCUGCAGUGAGGAAUAUUGGUCAAUGGACGAGAGUCUGAACCAGCCAAGUAGCGUGAAGGAUGACUGCCCUAUGGGUUGUAAACUUCUUUUAUAUGGGAAUAAAAUGUUCCACGUGUGGGAUUUUGUAUGUACCUUAUGAAUAAGGAUCGGCUAAUUCCGUGCCAGCAGCCGCGGUAAUACGGAGGAUCCGAGCGUUAUCCGGAUUUAUUGGGUUUAAAGGGAGCGUAGGUGGGUUGUUAAGUGAGUUGUGAAAGUUUGCGGCUCAACCGUAAAAGUGCAGUUGAAACUGGAAAUCUUGAGUACAGUAGAGGUGGGCGGAAUUCGUGGUGUAGCGGUGAAAUGCUUAGAUAUCACGAAGAACCCCGAUUGCGAAGGCAGUUCACUGGACUGCAACUGACGCUGAGGCUCGAAAGUGUGGGUAUCAAACAGGAUUAGAUACCCCAGUAGUC